CUCAACAGAAUAGCAGAGCUGUGCUCAGGGCAUGGCCCUGGUCCCAUAAAGCCUGGAAUUUGCUGUCUGUGCCUCCACAGGGUCCUGGUGGCAGCUGUCCGGACUGUAGUCUUGGUAUUAAUGCAUCAAUUCUGAACUUGCAAAGAACUUAGUGUGCUCGUGCAGAAGCCACAAAGGGAAAAGCCCCUCCGAGAAUGCAGAACUGUUUUGGAUGAGAGUGCCACAGACUGGAGACAAAGAUCCCGAAGUCUGCUGCAGCCCGUUCUGCUUUCCUAAUUUUCUCUUCUUCCGAAGAGAAAACCCGAUGCUGGGGGAUGAGACUGGUCUGGGUUCACGGUGGGCUGAACCUGGGCUGCGGAGACACUCCAUACGCCAGCAGAGGAAGCACUGUUUCAGCCACCGAAAGGACCAACUGUAGAUACAAUGUGCCUGUAGUCACACUUCCCUUUCCUUCCCCAGGGCUGCUUCUGGGCAAUGAAGCCUGCUCCUUAUCUGCACCCCCACCUCCUGGAUGGCU